UUGGGAUAUAGCCAAAUGGUAAGGCAUUGGUUUUUGACAUCAUGAGUAUAGGUUCGAUUCCUAUUAUCCCAAA
rnacentral:tRNA from 1 species